AGGAGAGUGGCAGAGUGGCCAUGCACUCGGUUUGAAGCCGAGCCACGGGGGUUCUAUUCCUUCCUCUCUUG
rnacentral:tRNA from 1 species